rnacentral:rRNA from 1 species
GACGAACGCUGGCGGCGUGCCUAAUACAUGCAAGUCGAGCGGACUAGCGUUUCCUUCGGGAAACGCGGGUUAGCGGCGGACGGGUGAGUAACACGUGGGUAACCUGCCUUUAAGACUGGGAUAACAUUCGGAAACGGAUGCUAAUACCGGAUAAACGAUUUGGUCGCAUGAUCGAAUCGAGAAAGAUGGAGCAAUCUAUCACUUAGAGAUGGACCCGCGGCGCAUUAGCUAGNGGUGAGGUAACGGCUCACCAAGGCGACGAUGCGUAGCCGACCUGAGAGGUGAUCGGCCACACUGGGACUGAGACACGGCCCAGACUCCUACGGGAGGCAGCAGUAGGGAAUCUUCCGCAAUGGACGAAAGUCUGACGGAGCAACGCCGCGUGAGUGA